AAGGGAGACCUAAUUCAGGUAUGGGACGAAAAAAAAGUAGUCGCUACCAAGAAUCAAUCCCAAAAGGUCGGAGCGAGGUAUGAGGCUUUCAAACUAGGUUCUGGGUUCAAACAAGACCUGAAUCAGGAGCAAGGGCUAUUAGCUCAGGUGGUUAGAGCGCACCCCUGAUAAGGGUGAGGUCCCUGGUUCGAGUCCAGGAUGGCCCACCUGCACAGGUGGCGAAAACAAGAGAAGCGAGGAAUCAGCACCUUAUCUUAUCUAUAUAUAAGAGAGAAUGCUGGCUCUGAGUAAAGAGUCCAGAGGAACCUUGAAAACUGCAUAGAGCUAGGUGAAAAAGCCAAAAAAGAAGACCGCAA
rnacentral:tRNA from 1 species